UACGUAGGGUGCAAGCGUUGUCCGGAAUUAUUGGGCGUAAAGAGCUCGUAGGCGGUCUGUCGCGUCUGCUGUGAAAACUCAGGGCUUAACCCUGAGCUUGCAGUGGGUACGGGCAGACUAGAGUGCGGUAGGGGAGACUGGAAUUCCUGGUGUAGCGGUGAAAUGCGCAGAUAUCAGGAGGAACACCGGUGGCGAAGGCGGGGUCUCUGGGCCGUAACU
rnacentral:rRNA from 1 species